rnacentral:ncRNA from 1 species
CAAGCCAGAAGAGGCGCGUCGCCCAGGCAGUGUGUUGGAGGAACCGAAUCCGCAGAAAGCACAUGAUGGGGUGCGACGCCGAGGUACAAACCACGCGGGUGGCGAGUAUCGACUACAGGGGCUGAAUCCCUUGGGUUGUCACCAGGAUCGUUCGGCAGUCGAACAAUCCAUACCUGAUUGAUAAGCGUUGCGGCUACACGCUGCCGCUAUGGUUUAUCGGGUUAACAAGGUGGGGCGCUUCUGGGUUA